rnacentral:rRNA from 1 species
GGAUCGCAGUCUGCAACUCGACUGCGUGAAGCUGGAUUCGCUAGUAAUCGCGCAUCAGCCACGGCGCGGUGAAUACGUUCCCGGGCCUUGUACACACCGCCCGUCAAGCCAUGGGAGUCGGGAGUGCCUGAAGUGCGUGAGCGCGAGCAGCGCCUAGGGCAAAACCGNUGACUGGGGCUAAGUCGUAACAAGGUAGC